rnacentral:rRNA from 1 species
GACGUAGGAGGCGAGCGUUGUCCGGAUUCAUUGGGCGUAAAGAGCGUGUAGGCGGCUUUACAGGUCCGUUGUGAAAACUCGAGGCUCAACCUCGAGACGCCGGUGGAAACCGUAAAGCUAGAGUCCGGAAGAGGAGAGUGGAAUUCCUGGUGUAGCGGUGAAAUGCGCAGAUAUCAGGAGGAACACCCGUGGCGAAAGCGGCUCUCUGGGACGGUACUGA